UACGGAGGGAGCUAGCGUUGUUCGGAAUUACUGGGCGUAAAGCGCGCGUAGGCGGCUUUGUAAGUCAGAUGUGAAAGCCCCGGGCUUAACCUGGGAACUGCGUUUGAAACUGGGGGGCUAGAGUGUGGAAGAGGGGGGUGGAAUUCCAGGUGUAGCGGUGAAAUGCGUAGAUAUCUGGAGGAACACCGGUGGCGAAGGCGACAUCCUGGACCGGUAUUGACGCUGAGGCGCGAAAGCCAGGGGAGCGAACGGG
rnacentral:rRNA from 1 species